AGACAUUAUUGCUGGGCUUAGCACCUAAAAAUGUUUUAUAUACUGGAGCAUCUGAAAGUUCCUAUUCAGUAGCAGAACUUCAGGGUAGUUGAGGUUUAUAAUCUAGUCAGUUAUAAUAACAUUGCUAGCAUAUUUCAGUUUUUUGGAUUUGUCUAUUAUUUGACAAUAUAAUUUUUAUUGUCUUUGUCUAUGUCAUAUCUUUAAAUUGGCUAUUGUUUUGUGCUUAUGGAAAAAUACUUUAAUUCUCAAAAACAGUGAUUUCUUUUUUGUUUUUGCCUCUUUAUAAGGAAUAGCAAAUAGAAGUGCUAGUAUUUACUAGAUGCAGUGAUUGCUACAGUUGGUUUUAAGUAAAACAGAUUGUUUUUGAUUAUUUUGAAAUCAGCCCCUAAGGCUCAUACAUGGAUGGGCCUCAGAUUUUGCUAUAAGCUUCCUGUCAUCUGUCAUAUGAGAGGGAUGCUGUGUGAAUCAGUUAUGUAUAUUCCUGUUCUUUAACAUUGCUAAAUUUUUACCAUUAAAAUUUAUGUUGGUUUCUGUUUUCUU
rnacentral:lncRNA from 1 species